rnacentral:rRNA from 1 species
UACGUAGGGUCCGAGCGUUGUCCGGAAUUAUUGGGCGUAAAGGGCUCGUAGGCGGUUUGUCGCGUCGGGAGUGAAAUCUUACAGCUUAACUAUGAACUUGCUUCCGAUACGGGCAGACUUGAGGCAUUCAGGGGAGAACGGAAUUCCUGGUGUAGCGGUGAAAUGCGCAGAUAUCAGGAGGAACACCGGUGGCGAAGGCGGUUCUCUGGGAAUGUACUGACGCUGAGGAGCGAAAGUGUGGGGAGCGAACAGG